GACGAACGCUGGCGGCGUGCUUUAGGCAUGCAAGUCGAACGCGAAAGCCCCUUCGGGGGUGAGUAGAGUGGCGAACGGGUGAGUAACACGUGGGUAACCUGCCCCUCGCAGGGGGAUAACCGGGGGAAACCCCGGCUAAUACCCCGUACGCUUGCUGGGGCGCAUGCUCCGGCAAGGAAAGGUAGCUUCGGCCAUCCGGCGAGGGAGGGGCCCGCGGCCCAUUAGCUAGUUGGUGGGGUAACGGCCCACCAAGGCGACGAUGGGUAGCUGGCCUGAGAGGGUGGUCAGCCAAACUGGGACGGGGACACGGCCCAGACUCCUACGGGAGGCAGCAGCCAGGAAUCUUGCGCAAUGGGCGAAAGCCUGACGCAGCAACGCCGCGUGGGCGAUGAAGGCCUUCGGGUCGUAAAGCCCUGUUGUCGGGGACGAAGGGCGAAGGGUUAAUAGCCCCUAGCCUGACGGUACCCGACGAGGAAGCCCCGGCUAACUACGUG
rnacentral:rRNA from 1 species